rnacentral:rRNA from 1 species
GACGUAGGGCGCGAGCGUUGUCCGGAUUUAUUGGGCGUAAAGAGCUCGUAGGCGGUUUGUCGCGUCUGCUGUGAAAAUCCAGGGCUUAACCCUGGACCUGCAGUGGGUACGGGCAGACUAGAGUGCGGUAGGGGAGAUCGGAAUUCCUGGUGUAACGGUGAAAUGCGCAGAUAUCAGGAGGAACACCGGUGGCGAAGGCGGAUCUCUGGGCCGUAACUGACGCUGAGGAGCGAAAGCAUGGGGAGCGAACAGG